UUAGUGGAAAGACGAUCACAACGAUGGCGGAGCUGACUGCACUUGUGCUUCUCGGCGCAUUGGUUCUGAGUCAAUCCUACGUUCCGAUAACACUGAGCCUGGUGGAAGUUGGCGUUAACGUCACUUUGGCAUGCCCGCGCCACGACGAUAAAGGUGACAUAUUUUACUGGUACAAGAUGAAAUUCGGCUCAAUGGUCCAAACCAUUGUGGAGGGGUAUUUCGGGGAAAUGUCCCUUCGAGGACCGUUCAAGGACGGAAGAUUUGUGAGCGCGCGUACGGGUGACAUGUACGUUUUAAACAUCACAAACGUACACAAAGACGAUGAAGCGAUGUACACCUGCCAAGCUGGGACCUCAUACAACAUGGUGUUCACCGGUGGCACGCAUCUGGUGGUGAAAGACCCCAGACGCAAGUCCUUCUAGGUGAGACAAAUUCCGCAAAGCAAGUCGGUCAAAGGGGGCGAGUCUGUGACCAUCCAGUGUUCCGUCCUAGCUGAGAGCAAAGAAUAUUUCCGCCAAUGUCCGAACCAAAGCAGCGUCUACUGGUUGAAGUCAGGAUCGGGAG